UACGUAGGGGGCAAGCGUUGUCCGGAUUUAUUGGGCGUAAAGAGCGUGUAGGCGGCCAGGUAGGUCUGCUGUGCAAACUCGAGGCUUAACCUCGAGCUGUCGGCGGAAACCAUCUGGCUAGAGUCCGGAAGAGGAGAAUGGAAUUCCCGGUGUAGCGGUGAAAUGCGCAGAUAUCGGGAAGAACACCCGUGGCGAAGGCGGUUCUCUGGGACGGUACUGACGCUGAGACGCGAAAGCGUGGGGAGCGAACAGG
rnacentral:rRNA from 1 species